GACGAACGCUGGCGGCGUGCCUAAUACAUGCAAGUAGAACGCUGAAGGAGGAGCUUGCUUCUCUGGAUGAGUUGCGAACGGGUGAGUAACGCGUAGGUAACCUGCCUGGUAGCGGGGGAUAACUAUUGGAAACGAUAGCUAAUACCGCAUAAGAGUAGAUGUUGCAUGACAUUUGCUUAAAAGGUGCACUUGCAUCACUACCAGAUGGACCUGCGUUGUAUUAGCUAGUUGGUGGGGUAACGGCUCACCAAGGCGACGAUACAUAGCCGACCUGAGAGGGUGAUCGGCCACACUGGGACUGAGACACGGCCCAGACUCCUACGGGAGGCAGCAGUAGGGAAUCUUCGGCAAUGGACGGAAGUCUGACCGAGCAACGCCGCGUGAGGGAAGAAGGGUGUCGGAUCGGAAAGCUCUGUUGUAAGAGAAGAACGAGUGUGAGAGUGGAAAGUUCACACUGUGACGGUAUCUUACCAGAAAGGGACGGCUAACUACGUG
rnacentral:rRNA from 1 species